GCCUGGAUGCUAAAGUUCGUGGGUUUCUGAAUGUGUGCUUCAGAAAAAAAUGAACGUUUACUGUAUUGUAACCAAGCGUACCUGGACAAUUACAAGAUCAUUAAUUUCCAUGAAGUUGAAGACCAGGGCAGCAUGGUGGUGCAGGGGGUAGCACUGUCGCCUCACAACAAGAAGGUCCUCUGUUCUGGGUCCGGCCUGGCCUUACUGUGUGGAGUUUGCAUGUGUGGGAGUUUCCACAGGCACAGUCCAGUCAACUGAAAUUCGUAACACAACGCAAGCACACGCUGCAGUUUCAAGCGCCACAGCAUUAUAGCAGAGGGUCUGUGCAGAGGGAGUGCGCCGGACGGAGCGAGGCCCACAGCGGUAAUGUAAAGGCAUCUAUGCGGGCCACGUCCACGCCGCCGCGUCCGCGCGGCUGGCCAAGCCGCCCACCCCAGCCCCCGAAACGUGGAAGCGGGAGGGCCCCCUGGGACCGGGGCUGUGCCGGGCCUGGCGCACCGCUCAUUACUCUUACAUUAAAACCAGUCACGAGGAAAAUUGCUACGGACCCCCACACCACCUGGACCAGUCCAUCCGCCCGCCCACCCACCCACCCACCCCCCAUGUCCAACCCCGCCGCGGCAGCGUGCACCAGAGCAGACAGAAGUGGAGACGGUGGCGCCGUGCCACUUCCUUAAGCUCCUGUGUGUCAUGAGGACGGUUCAGUUUAAGCAAGGCCAGCGUAUGCAUUCACAUAAGAGGCCCACGCAUAUGUAAAGCCAGGCUCAUGUCACUACCGCGCACACUCCUGUUUCAAAAGAGUAGAAAGCUAAAUCAUGAAAAGAUUUGGACAUGUUGAUCUAAGAUGUAGCUAAAACAUUUUUUUUUUAUUAUUAU